AGUUCAGGGAAGAGCUCCUGCACGGCGAUGUCCAGCAGGACGUACGUCAUCUGAGGAGACACAGCAGCAGAGACAAAGUCGUUAGAGAGGACGCCAGGAAGCAGUGAUCCCAUCUGCCUUUCACACUGGUCGGAGACAGAAGAGGAGUUGAUGACUGCAGAUACUCAAACCAGCACACAUGGAUGCUGACUGUUACUAAAGCAGGAAGCUACAUCCACACUAAUACGUUUUUGUUUAUGAAGACAGCUUCCCUCCUGCACAUGUUCACGUGACGAACCAGAGAAGGACACGUCAGGACUGAUGAGAUCCAAUCAAGAAGACGUGGGCGUCUGCAUCAUCGUUUUCAAAAUGUCUCCGUUUCUGUCCAUCCAGACUAAAACGCAACCCCGGAGUUUUAAAACGGGGUCAGCAGCACUUUCAAACGUCUAAGUUUCAGAGGCUGGAAAACGGCGCAGUAGUGUGGACGUGAGGCGUAAACGUAGCACAAGUUACGUGUUGUAAAACAAAAACGUAUUAGUGUGGAUGUAGCCUUAAUAGGGAUGUUAAUAAUUAACCAUUUAACCGACAAUAAGCAUUUUAACCGAUUAAUGCUAUUGGUUAAAUGAAAUGUUAAUAAUUAAUUAAAAUGCUGAGGUUUUUAAAGGUUUUUGUUUCCCCGGCACAAAAUGGGAGUAAAUAACCGCAAAAACAAAAUCAACAAAAACAUCAGUAUCAGCC